rnacentral:rRNA from 1 species
UUUAAAGUCUAACCUGCCCAAUGAGGAUUUGAAUGGCCGCGGUAUUUUGACCGUGCAAAGGUAGCAUAAUCAUUAGUUUUUUAAUUGAAAGCUGGAAUGAAUGGUUGGACGAGAAAAUUACUGUCUCAUUUUAAUUUUUAUUAGAACUUUAUUUUUAAGUAAGAAAGCUUAAAUUUUUUUAAAAGACGAGAAGACCCUAUAGAGUUUAAUAUUUUUUAUUAUUAAAAUUUUUUAGAUUAAUCAUGGUUUUUAUAGUAAGAAAUAUUUUGUUGGGGUGACAGAAAAAUUUAGUUAACUUUUUUUAAAAUAUUUACAUAGAUUUAUGGUUAAUUGAUCCGUUAUUUACGAUUAUAAGAUUAAAUUACCUUAGGGAUAACAGCGUAAUUUUUUUUGAGAGUUCUAAUCGAAAAAAAAGUUUGCGACCUCGAUGUUGGAUUAAAAU